GCUAGCAUGGCGUAGUGGUUUGAGCGUUGGACUAUGGCUCUGGAGAUCAGGGUUCGAAUCCCUAGUCAGCC